GCCCUCUGUACCACACAUCCACCUUGGAGGCUUUCCACAGCCUCAUCAUCAGAUUUACUCCAAAAAGUCAGGUCUUCUCCUUCAAAGGAAUGCUGUCUAGAUUACAAAUUGCUGCAAUGCACUAUAAUGAAAAUGCAGCACGCUCACAUGCAGCAACAGCAACUGGUGAGCUGAGAUAUGCUGUAGUGUACCCAAAGUACAAACGUGGAGACUACACAGUGAGAGCCCUGAAGACCAAUCCAACCUCAUUAUAUGUGCACAAGCUUAUGGAUCUGCUGUUCGACUCUGUGGUGGUGGAUCCUCUCCCAUAUCAGGAGUACUCGGACAAAAUUCCGGUUCCAGAACCUCUCUGUGCCCAGUUCCAAAGACCAGAUAAACGGGAUGCUGUGAGCAGGCACAGGUCCAGGUUUUAAAGUGCACGUAAGGUGAGCUACACAACAAGAGAUUGUAAUUAUUAGUUAGUACUCUACUCUGUGUGGUUUUUCCUUUUCUCCUCCUCAGCCAGGCUGCACACCACUGUACGACAGAGGAGUUACCUGUCGUCGUUAUGGAUCUUUAUGCUCAUCCACUCGUGACUCAUGCUGUCCACCUCCCAGAUGUCUAUUGAUCUCUACAACCUUUCUGCUCUGUGGCUCCCAUACAACUUGAAAAUCUUGGCCAGCCUCCUGAUAUUGUUACAGAAAAGCCUGUGCUCCCGGGAUCCAUCUCCACGUUUGUCAUCACAGUGAAAGCUACCUCCAGACUAAGGAACCAAAGAAACAUCACUGAUGGCCCAACCUAUCCUCACAUGGCUCCAGAAUCUCUGCUUGUGGUUUAGAGUUUUGUCAAAAAUCAUGAAAGUUAUGAUCAGAUUGUAAUCUAACGUUGUCUUAGUAGUAGCUAUAAUAAAUGUUAUCUUUAAAGCGCAAUUGUGUCAUUUUAAAUACAAUUAUAUUGAUAUUUUGAUGUGUAUAAAUACAUAUAUCACAUUUAUUAAAUUAUCAUUCAUUUUUACCUAAUUGAACCUGCUCUAGAAUAGACUUCAUUAAUCACACAGGGUGUAAACUCACUUGUUACAGCAGCAUUAAUUAACCCCGAAUUAGAACCUUACUGUUGUAAGAGCUCAUUUGAAAAGUGUGUGGCUAUAUGUGUGUAUAUAUAAAUAAUGUCAAAGUGUAAAGAAGUGCAUUUACCGUUUUGUGAUUUAUGCAGCUUUUUAUGGACAGGAAUCAAUACAGGAAAUAUAUAUUAUAACAUUUAUUUAAUCCAAAAAAUAUAUAUUAGUUCAGAGGAGGGAGGAAUCCUUUGUAUGCACCGUCUUCUGGGAACUCCUGCCUUAUUCUGGAGACAGCGCAUGACGGGAUCACAACACGAACGUGCUGUCCCAGGUAACCCCAACACCACCUGACCACAUUCCGGUACGCCAGAUGUCUGUAACAGCUGAGAAAGAGGUGGUAUGAGUUACAAAGUAUUCAUAAAAAAAUUAUUUUGACAGUUGUCUUACCUGUUGAGCGUAGUCUCCUGCAUCUCCCCAUAGAGUUGCAGAAAGGUGCCAUAAACUGCCUGCAACACGUAGGGAUUCAGAGCAACAGCCUCAAAACCAGGAUGCUUAGUUAUGCAGGAGGUUACACCCACCUGCUGACACCUGAGCAUUACCUAUGACAAAGAACAACUGAUAUCAGUGCUAUAAGAGUUCAAUAUUAGUAUGAUGUUAGUGAUUGUGUAACAAAUGUGUACAUUACAGAAUGCUUUUCUCAUGGUGGGGUACUUUUAUUUUUAUACCUUGGGCGUUUCUCUCAAGCACACAUUUUCUCUGGCAGACAAUGAUGUGCAGUGGCCGCAGGUGCACCUGUUGAGGCAGUCAUACAAUAUUACUUUUAGCUAAGCUAAAUAUAGCUAGCUGUGGCUAAAAGCUACUUACCACUCAGAGACUGGACCCAUUCGAUGCCUUGAUACUCCUGCUGGCUCGGCUCCAGGGGCCUCUGACAACUCACGAGCUAGUGGCUCAAAAAGAUACGGUUCAGGACCGCUUGCUUCCCCCAAUAAGCCCUCCUCCCUAUCCUCUGGGGAAGAAGGUGGGGAAAAGUCCUCCACCUCGAAUGACUGCUCUGAGCUACUGUCGCUCUCCGUCGCCAUCUGUAUUCAAAUUUCAGUAUGUCAAUCACGGUCGUAGCUCCGCCUUCUCGGUCUUACAGGAAACGCCUCUUUGGGCCGCAUUUUUCAAAUAUGAAAUGUGGGUGGAGUAAGACUCUGACAGGGGAUUACCACUACUUUAAUA